UAAGGAGUCAAAUGACUCAGCUCCCAUGCCAAGUAUGACAUCUAUGUUGGAGAAAACCUCGAUGUUUUGUAGUCUUAGUUGGUGUAUUUGACAUUUCCCAUGUCAAUUAUGACACCUAAAAAUUGUCAAAUGUAAAUUUGAAGACUUAUAUGGCAAUGUCAAAUUUCAUUUUGCUCAAACCCCUAUAUUUUUUUAUAUUCAAUUAAUAUCUGCAGGACCCACUCUUAAAAACAAAUCAAUCUUCAUGACUGGUGCAUUGUUAGGGCCAACACAACAAAACAUUUAAAAAAUAAUAAGACACCAGAUUUUCUCCUAUGUAAAUUAGCAGCAAACAAUUUCUAUGUCAAUGUACAGAUUGACAUAUCGGUUAUUACGUGGCAUUCCACUCAGGCAGUGGAGAGGGCCAAAGGUCUAAAAGUUAAAAAAUGACCUGAUUUGCUCAAAAAUCAAUCUUCAACUGAUGGUUGGGCUAUAAUUGUAUGGGGUUCACAUACCAUUAUUUGGCCAAAUGUAGCUCUCCUCUUAGCCAUGUUUUUGGGGCCCAUCUCCUUAGUUGCAAU
rnacentral:lncRNA from 1 species